UCUUUUGGCUCCUUCAUAAAUUAAAAUAUGAUGAUAAGUAGGAAUUACAAUGCCAUUAUUUACACGAGGGGGUAUGGAAAUGAAUUGAACCAUUAAGGGAUGGUCUUUUAACUGAUCAAGAAUCUGUUUAAGUUUUGGUGGAAAAAAUAGGAAAGAUCUAUUAAAUAUAUAUAUAGUAUCUAUCAUAUCAAAUUGUAAAGUUGGG
rnacentral:lncRNA from 1 species